rnacentral:pre_miRNA from 1 species
CCAGCCUGGAGGCCCGGAUCACCGCAGCAGGUCUGCGUGCGGUGAUCCGGGCCUCCAGGCCGGU